UCUUAGAAGUCUCUUCUUCAACACAUUAUUUCUCCGGUCAAUAGCUAUAGAUUUCUAUGGACUUAAUGUUCAUGACUUCCUUUUAUCUAUUUCUUCUUCACCCUAACUAGGUGUUAUAUUCUUCUACAUCUUGUGUACUUGGGCUUCUCCUAGUCUUCUAUUGACAUUAAUAAAAUUUUCAUAAAGAAAUGAACUACCAGCUAUCUCAUAGUAAAAUUAAAGGUGAUCCAUCGUUUCCACUCUUUUUACACAUGCAACUCAAAUAAAUUACUACAACUUGCCGCCUCCUUACAUUAUCCAAGGUAAGAAUCUUCCCUAAAACCAUUGUCCAUAUAUAAAAGAUUUUUUUUUAAUCAUUAAAAGUAGGCAAAGCCAAAGUACACAUGGAGUAUACAUGAGAAGUACCCUAGAGUUUACAACUGAAAGUAGAAAAUCAUGGACAUUUAGCCCAUUACAAACAAUGGCCCUGCCCAUAAGAACAAUGAUUUAAAAAAGAAAACCUUAAGUUCCUCAAUUGUUCUCUUGCAAUCUUUGAAGCACUUCUAUCAUUUCUCUCCUGCCAAAUACACCAACACAUACAUGUAAGUAACCACUGUCCAUAUUGCUACCACCUAUGAAUUACCUUGGAGGUCUCUUCAACUUGCUAGGAAAUCCACCAGUCUAAGAGGCAUAACCCAUGAUAAUCCAAUGCUUGCAAAAAAAUCAUUCCACAUGGUCCUGACCACCUCGCAAUGUAAAAGCAGAUGAUCUACUGAUUCACCAUUCUUAGACAUGAAACACCAGUCCAACACCAUUACCCAGCGUUGCCUGAAAUUAUCUAUGGUGAGAAUCUCAUUUCCUUAUAUAAAAGUUCGCUCUUGGGGUACCUUGUUUCACCAAAUAAUCUUCCAAGGACAAGGGGAACAAUCAAAAGCACAUAACACUUUGUAGAGAGACUUUACUUCAAACACUUCUUUCUUUGUUGGGCCCCAGACCAGUUUGUCUUCACCGCCCCAUCCCAAACUGCAAUCGUUUGAAGAACGAUGUGAAGAGAUCCCCCUUCUAGUAAUUAAUCUCUCUAGCAAAAUUAACUGUCCACUAAUGAGUAUCUUGCAAGAACCGACAAUGAUCCAUCACAAAAGCAUCCUUGAAAUGUACAGUGCUCAAUAACUAUGGUAAAGCACCUUUUGAAAGCUGAUCUCCAAGCCACACAUCAUGCCAAAAAUUAAUCUAGUACCCGUCACCCACCUCAUAUCUAAUAAAGUGGGACAAAUCCUCCUAACCCCUUCUAAUGUUCUCCCAAAGACCAAUCAUAAAAAGACACAUGAACCCUUAGACAAGUAUAUCACUUCUACCUAGCCAAGAAACGCAAUGGAAGACCAAGAUAACUUGUGGGCAAAUCAGAAAUCUUUCAGCCAAGAAAACCCGCCAAAAUAACCAUGUUCUAUAGAUUGCCAACUGGGAGCAACCCCGAGAUAGUAAAAUUAACCUUCAAACCAGAAACUUCAAAAUAUUUUUUUAAAAGUAAUAGAACUUCAUUAAAUUUCACAAAAGGUGCAUCCAAGUACACAGGGUGUAUACAAGAAAGUCAUCAAUUGAAAA